rnacentral:tRNA from 1 species
AUUAAUUUAGUAAUUUACAUCUAAUUUCCAAUUAGAUAAAGAGUUUAUUU